rnacentral:rRNA from 1 species
ACUCAAAGGAAUAGACGGGGGCCCGCACAAGCGGCGGAGCAUGCGGAUUAAUUCGAUGCAACGCGAAGAACCUUACCUGGGUUUGACAUCACGGGAAAUCUCGCAGAGAUGCGGGGUCCUUUUAGGGCUCGUGACAGGUGGUGCAUGGCUGUCGUCAGCUCGUGUCGUGAGAUGUUGGGUUAAGUCCCGCAACGAGCGCAACCCUCGUUCGAUGUUGCCAGCGGUUCGGCCGGGGACUCAUCGAAGACUGCCGGGGUCAACUCGGAGGAAGGUGGGGAUGACGUCAAGUCAUCAUGCCCCUUAUGUCCAGGGCUUCACGCAUGCUACAAUGGCCGGUACAAAGGGCUGCGAUGCUGUAAGGCGGAGCGAAUCCCAAAAAGCCGGUCUCAGUUCGGAUCGGGGUCUGCAACUCGACCCCGUGAAGUCGGAGUCGCUAGUAAUCGCAGAUCAGCAAUGCUGCGGUGAAUACGUUCCCGGGCCUUGCACACACCGCCCGU